GACGAACGCUGGCGGCGUGCCUAAUACAUGCAAGUCGAACGCACAGUUUAUACCGUUGCUUGCUACACCAUAGACUGUGAGUUGCGAACGGGGGAGUAACGCGUAGGUAACCUGCCUGGUAGCGGGGGAUAACUAUUGGAAACGAUAGCUAAUACCGCAUAAUAUUAAUUAUUGCAUGAUAAUUAAUUGAAAGGUGCAAUUGCACCACUACCAGAUGGACCUGCGUUGUAUUAGCUAGUAGGUGAGGUAACGGCUCACCUAGGCGACGAUACAUAGCCGACCUGAGAGGGUGAGCGGCCGGACUGGGAGGGAGACACGGCCCAGAGGGCCAGGGGAAGCAGCAGGAGGGAAUCGUGGGCAAGGGACGGAAGUCUGAGCGAGAAGCGCCGAGGGAGGAAAGAAGGUUGUCGGGUCGGAAAGGUCGGUUGUAGGAGAAGAACGGGUGUGAGAGUGGAAAGUUCACACUGUGACGGUAACUUACCAGAAAGGGACGGCUAACUACGUG
rnacentral:rRNA from 1 species